rnacentral:rRNA from 1 species
ACUCCAUGAAGCUGGAUUCGCUGUAAUCGCGCAUCAGCCACGGCGCGGUGAAUACGUUCCCGGGCCUUGUACACACCGCCCGUCAAGCCAUGGAAGCCGGGGGUGCCUGAAGUGCGCUGCCGCAAGGAGCGCCCUAGGGUAAAACCGGUGACUGGGGCUAAGUCGUAACAAGGUAAC